rnacentral:lncRNA from 1 species
CACCACUCUCGUUGGUCUGGCACAGUGAGAGAGACGCGUGUUGGCUGGGCUUUUCGAGGUCGCUCAGUCACGUGGGCGAGGCGGCGGACCAAUGGCGGGGCUGCUUUGUGGUCACGUGAUGCGUGACGUCACCAGGAAGCACUAGGAUGGAGGUGUGAGGACAAGACAGAGACAGGGAGAUGAGGGAGUUUGGUGAGCGGUGUGGCCAAACGCUCUUGAGGGGAAGUGAAUCAGCUGUGACCGUGGCGGUGAGACAAGCCGGGGUGGACACCAGGAUGAACGGGCACCGUGCCGGCCUGAGACACCACCGCGUAUCCAGCGCCUUGGUGGGACACGUGGACACAGAGCGCCUUCCGGCUAGUGACCACCCAGUAACGUGUUCUGGGUGGGACAGCAACAAUUGCAUAAUAAUGUGGACUUUAACCUUCCAGUCAUGAGGUGGGGCGAGCCAUCGACUGCUCACGCAGGCCAGCAGAUAUUUUUCUUUUUUAUGCACGAAGGGAACUAGCCAAGGACAACAAGCAAUAUAAAAAAGGCCCACUGGAUUGCCAGCCCCUUUAAAGUAAAUAAAAGUUAUCCAAAAGU